rnacentral:rRNA from 1 species
CAAUAGCGUAUAUUAAAGUUGUUGCAGUUAAAAAGCUCGUAGUUGAAUUUCUGGCGGGCGCGCCGGUCUUCCAUGUGUUGUACUGGGCGCAGUCCGCCAUCCUUGUGGAGAGGGCUCGCAUUGAGUUGCGUGUCGGAUCUGCAUCAUUUACUGUGAAAAAAUUAGAGUGUUUAAAGCAGGCUGUCGCUUGAAUACAUUAGCAUGGAAUAAUAAGAUAGGACUUCGGUCUAUUUUGUUGGUUGCGAACCGAGGUAAUGAUUAAUAGGGAUAGUUGGGGGUAUUCAUAUUUAAUUGUCAGAGGUGAAAUUCUUGGAUUUAUGAAAGAUGAACAACUGCGAAAGCAUUUACCAAGGAUGUUUUCAUUAA